UACAGAGGGUGCAAGCGUUGUUCGGAAUUACUGGGCGUAAAGGGCGCGUAGGCGGACAGUUAAGUCGGGGGUGAAAGCCCGGGGCUCAACCUCGAAUUGCCUUCGAUACUGGCUGUCUUGAGUACGGGAGAGGUGUGUGGAACUCCGAGUGUAGAGGUGAAAUUCGUAGAUAUUCGGAAGAACACCAGUGGCGAAGGCGACACACUGGCCCGUUACUGACGCUGAGGCGCGAAAGCGUGGGGAGCAAACAGG
rnacentral:rRNA from 1 species